GUUCUCCCCUGCUGUUGUGUGACAAAACGUUUCCUGAAGAAAAUGCAAACACAUGCCGUCUACUCAGCCCAGAGAGCCCAUGACAGACCACAGUACAGCCACUGUCAAAGACCAACUUGGUGAAGCAAUAAGUUGUACUGGGGUUUAUGGGUAAGAGGUUAGUUACAGGAGCAGAAAUGACUCAGAUGGCAUCCCCAAGGUCCUCCUGAGCCCUGAGCGUGGGCUCACAAAAGCUGGGAACCUGGAGCACACGGCACAGCCUGCAGGCAGCUCUACAGGUCCAAGAGUCAUCUCUCCAGAAAGACCAUCAGCGCACAGGUCGAUCGUGCUGACUCACCAGUCCACCUGAAGUGACUGUCAGCCACUGCUCCAGGAGAGAGAGGGGAUUGUGCGAGCCACCCGGAAAUUGGACUGCCCACUCAAUCCCAGGCUGACAUGGAUGCAGAGUUUCCUAUGACUCAACCCGACUGGGAUUUUAACACUGCGUUAAAGCCCCCCGACUUGGAGACAUGCCAGGAGGCUGCAUGAGACCAGUUACAGGAGCCGAGUCAACUUGGCUACUGAGUAUCUCCUAAGAAGGCCCAGUUUUGUCAACUUGAGGUCACCUAUCUGGGCUACAUAUUCUAAGGGGGAGUGGCCAACGCAUGCUGUCAGAUACCCUGGGGGCAAAUCAUCCCAGUUCAUCAACCCAAAGGCAAGUAUGGGAAUUUCUGGGUUUUGUAGACUUUGGGUACCAGGGUUCACUGAGGUAGCCAAACCAUUAUAUGAGGCCACCAGGGCCCAAUAAGAGAAAAUAGAACGUACCCCUGAGACAAACAUGGCUUUAAGACUCUAGGAAGAGCCUUAUUGGAGGUGCUGGCUGUGGCCCUCCCCGACAUUCACAAACUUUCCUCCUGUAUGUGGAUCAGAGAGAGAGGAGAGCAAAGGGGGGGCUCACCCAGUCUUUGGAACCUUGGGAAAGACCUGUGGCUUAUUUAUCUAAGAAGCGGGGCUAGGUGACCCAAAAAUGUCCAGAUCAUAGGUGCCACUGCUCUGCUGGUCAAGGGUGCUGACAAAAUAACCAUGGGGCAGGAAUCUGUUAUCCCUACUCCCCACGCUAUUGAGGGGACCCUCAGGAUCCACCCAGCCAAUGGCUGUCCAACCCCAGACUGGGGUGCACUUUCAGGCUCUGCUUUUGAAUUCCUCUCACAUAAGAUAUAACCCAUCUUCUGCCCUGAACCCAGCCUCCCUGCUACCUGACCCAUCCUCAGAUGGCAGCAUGACUGCUCUCUGUAUAGUCCUGGGGCACCCUCAGAGCAUCAGGCCGGACUUGGCUGACACACCCUGGCCAGGUGCAGAUCGUAUCUACUUCACGGAUGGGGCGGCUACCUCCAGAGUGGAGCCAGGUAUGCAAGGCAUCAGAAAGAGACAUCAGAAAUAGCCCGAGGGAACAGACUAGCUGAUAAAGCCGAAAGGGAGACUGAGCUUCCACUGCGGACAUCCUGGUAGCUUUGCCACCCACUGCGCUCCCCGCUGUCCUAGAAUUUACUCCUGAAGACAAACAACAUCAGGCAAGAUGCCAAGGAGUUUACAGAAGAGACAGACGGUUGCUGGCCUCUGAAGGCUGCACCAUCCCACCUGAGGAGUUUGCUAAGCCACUCACCCAUCAGAUCCAUCAAACUUCACACCAGGUCACUGAAAACGGAAGGAAUGGCUGUGAGGGGCAAGGUACAAAAUAUUUGACUUAGGACACAUGGUUGAUCAGGUAAUCUCGGACUGUGCCACCUGCCAGGCUGUGAACCCCUCAGGCCCCAUCAAGGGCCCCCUACAGAAACCAGAAUGAGGAACAGCCAGGGGCUAAUUGGGAAAUAGAUUAUACAGAAGUAAAACCAGGAACAUAUGGAUAUAGGAUGAGAAGAAGUCUACCUGACAAAGAAGGAGAGUGCCAACACAGUGACAAACUUCUACAAGACAUCAUACCCAGUCUGACACUCAAGCACUCGUCUCUGUUAACUCAACCUCUAGCACAGGUUGUGGGGACCAAUUGGAAAUUACAUUGUUCAUAUAGACUCCAGAGUCCAGGGCAAGUAGAGAGAAUGAAUCGGACCCUGAAGGAGACCUUGCUCAAAUUUACCCUGAAACUGGCAGGGACUGGGCAUCUCUCCCACCUUAUGCCUUAUAUAGGGGUAGGAAUAACCCUUAUAUUUUAGGUCCCCUCUUUUUUUUAGAUCCUAUAUGGGAGGAUCCCACCUGUGCUGCCUAACCUCCAGUCUGAUAUCUUAGCUGAAUAUGACCAAUGUAAGUUUUUUUUUUUUUUAAAUCCUUGGAAGCCCUCCAUAGGAUCCAGAAGCAACUCUGGCCCACCAUCCACCAGGCAUAUGAGUGUGUUCCUCGAAACCCCCAUUGCUUUGAACCAGGUGACUAAAUCUGGUUGAAGAGACAGAGCCAGAAGACUCUGGAACCUUGUUGGAAGGGACCUCACACCGUGAUUCUGGCCAUGCCUAUGGCUGUUAAGGUGGCCAGGAUCGGGAUGUGGAUACAUUACUCCCACGUUAAGCCUGCAGGCAGAGACAAUCCAGCAGCCAAGGUCCCGGAAGAGGAGACGUCCAGGCGAACCUCGACAGGAACGAUAGAAGGUCCUUACCCCACAUCCUGUUGAUCCACUGAAACUGCGACUCCAGUGCUCCGGAUCCUGCUCGCUUGCUACUUCUGCUUUACUGCACCAGUCAGUAGUAGCCCUUGUACACCCAGGGUUGAUGCAACCUUGUCAUCAGGUUCACAAUGGCAGGCAGGAAGGCCGACUGGACUGCUGGUUUUUGUUUUUGUUUUUGUUUUUGUUUUUGUUUUUGUUUUUGUUU
rnacentral:sRNA from 1 species